AUGGAAGUUCAACCAAAAGUCGAUACAGAAGACAACACUGCUGCCCCGGACCACCAAAGUACAGUUAGCAACGUUGGUGACCUGUGGGAAACGAGAUCGAACUGUUCUAACAUCUCACGAUCCAGUCAGCGGUCACGGGCCAGUCAAAGGUCCAACGCAAGCAUUUUGGCAGCAAAAGCACGCGCUAAAGCUGCUGCCGCUCAAGCACAGGCAUCAUACGCUGAAAAAGAAGCAGAGGUGAUAAAAGAACAAGCCCACAUCGAAGCUGAAGCUACAAAAAAGAAAGCAGAGCUCACCGCUGAUCUCCUCAAACUGCGUCUACAGAGUGCAGCUGCAGCCGCUAACGCCGAAGCAAAGGUCCUGGAAGCAGCGGCCGAGGAUGAAGAUGGAUAUACCUUGUUUCCAAAAAACAGUGACAACGUCACCCAGCCCAUAACAGUUCCACCUGUGCCGGUUAAUACCCGCUUUGACUCCGCACAAGCUAGCACAUUAGUGCUUCCAGCAGCUCAGCGAGUAAAAUACAGUGGUGAUUUUGUCCAAAAUAAAGUCAAAGAGCACAGCAUACAAAACAGUGAGAAUAGUGAAUAUGGAUUUCAAGAGCUACCUGAGGCACAUCCCUCGCAGUAUGGCAACACUAGUGGAGCAGAUCGUUCUUAUGCCCAAAGCUCGUUCAAAAAUGCCUUUUUCACUUCUCACUCGCAGUAUCCAACCCCAGUUACUACUGAUCACAGAUAUCAGCCACGCUCUAUGAAUGAGUCUGCCCCUUUCCAGCCCAAGCUAUCGUCUCCAUGCCCUGUUGUCAGUGCAAACGAGUCCAAUUCCCCAGCCACAUCAGACUUAGCCAAAUAUUUGGUUCGCAGAGAGUUGGUUAGCUCAGGGCUCCUGACGUUUGAUGAUAAGCCUGAAAAUUAUUGGGCUUGGAAGGCAUCUUUUGUGAACGCUAUAGUAGGACUCUAUUUAUCCCCAAGAGAGGGGUUGGAUCUCCUCUGCAAAUGGCUAGGCCCCAAAUCAUCAGAGCAAGCGAAACGAUUAAGAGCCGUACACACCUAUGAUGCCACAGCUAAUGUC
ensembl:lncRNA